rnacentral:rRNA from 1 species
CCCCUAGAUGUUCUGGGCCGCACGCGCGCUACACUGAACAGUUCAACAAGUCUUAACCUUGGCCGAUAGGUCUGGGUAAUCUUUGAACGCUGUUCGUGAUUGGGAUAGACCUUUGCAAUUAUGGGUCUUCAACGAGGAAUUCCUAGUAAACGCAAGUCAUCAGCUUGCAUUGAUUAUGUCCCUGCCCUUUGUACACACCGCCCGUCGCACCUACCGAUUGAAUGGUCCGGUGAAAUCUCGGGACGGCGGCUUGGUCGCUUGCGUCCGACUGCUGAAACUUGAUUAAACCAUAUCAUUUAGAGGAAGGUGAAGUCGUANCA